AAUAUCUCUCCCUAAUCUCAGCUAGGAAUUCCAUUUCUUUUGAUUUUAUUUAAAAGGAGUGGAAUAACCAAGAAAAAGAAAGGAAGAGAAGAAGAGAAAGAUAAAGAGAGAGAAAGUGAGAGGAUGAACGCAUCCUCUGUUUUUGUUUAUGUAUAAUCUUUUUAGAUCUUGGUUCAAACCAAUUUUCCCAUCUGGGUUCUCUCUUUUGAAUGGAUUGUAAGAUUGAAUCUUGAUUGAUGAAUGAAGGAUCCAAUGAUUUUAAAAUAAAUCCAAUACUUCCCACUUGUUAUUUUAUCAGAGUGUGAGCUUGGGUUCCUGCCUGAUUUUCUGGAUAAGUUCAUCUUCUUGUUGAAUUGAUUCACACAUUUGUAGGAUCUGGCUGUUCUUAGUGAUUAUAAAAAAGAUGGAGUCGGAUCUAGGUAAGCUAUUUAUUGGUGGGAUUUCUUGGGACACAGAUGAGGAUCGACUGAAAGAAUAUUUUGGAGCAUAUGGAGAACUGGUGGAAGCAGUGAUCAUGAGAGAUCGCACCACAGGCCGUGCUCGUGGCUUUGCGUUUGUAGUUUUUGCCGAUCCUGCAGUGGCUGAAAGAGUGGUUAAGGAGAAACACAUGAUUGAUGGAAGAAC